rnacentral:misc_RNA from 1 species
GUAGGUGAACCUGCGGAAGGAUCAUUAAUACGUUUUUUUAUCGAAUAUUUUAUUCGAUAAAAAAUGUUUAAACCCCUGAACAAAUUGUGACAAGUUAGAAUGAUGGGUUUGCAUUUGUGAGUUUUCAUUCAUAUUGAAGACUUGAAAAGGAACUGUGUUGUAAAUGGCCCAUCUCAGCGUAGAGCAAUGAGAUGACUCUCCGGAGUGGUUCUGAAAUACGAAUGCUUACUCUAUAUAACUAUUUGCUCUACUUUUAACAACUCUAUAAACCCCAUGUACAACAACUUGAACUAACAACCUUUUUUUCUUUCUGCUAAAAACAGAAAGGAAAAAAAAUAACCGAAAUUAAGAACAACUCUUAACAACGGAUAUCUUGGUUCUC